rnacentral:rRNA from 1 species
CUACGGUGCAGCAGUGGGGGAUAUUGCACAAUGGGGGAAACCCUGAUGCAGCAACGCCGCGUGAAGGAAGACGGUUUUCGGAUUGUAAACUUCUAUCAGCAGGGAAGAAAAUGACGGUACCUGACUAAGAAGCCCCGGCUAACUACGUGCCAGCAGCCGCGGUAAUACGUAGGGGGCAAGCGUUAUCCGGAAUUACUGGGUGUAAAGGGUACGUAGGCGGCUGAUCAAGUCAGAUGUGAAAGCCCGGAGCUCAACUCCGGGACUGCAUUUGAAACUGGUCGGCUAGAGUGCAGGAGAGGAAAGUGGAAUUCCUAGUGUAGCGGUGAAAUGCGUAAAUAUUAGGAAGAACACCAGUGGCGAAGGCGGCUUUCUGGACUGUAACUGACGCUGAGGUACGAAAGCGUGGGGAGCGAACAGGAUUAGAUACCCUAGUAGUC